AAUAAAAAUAUCUCUAAAUUAUGAUUUUAUGUGAUUAACGGUUAACUGGAUAAAGUUAAGUAGUAGUCCCGAAGAAAUAUGUGAUUAAACAUUGUGCGAUUUGUUAUAUAAAACUUAUACUAAUAAAAUGAAAUAAAUGUUUAGCACGUUUGAUUGGUUGAAUUCCCGACACGGGUGCGGAUCUAGAGGUCGGAUCCUUUGAGAUAGAAAUUUUAAGAUUCGGGGAUACGGAUCCUAGAACCGACACGGGUGCGGAGAUCCGGCUAAAAAUAAUUUACAAAUAAAAAUAAAAAUAUCUCUAAAUUAUGAUUUUAUGUGAUUAACGGUUAACUGGAUAGAGUUAAGUAGUAGUCCCAAAGAAAUAUGUGAUUAAACAUUGUGCUAUUUGUUAUAUAAAAUUUAUACUAAUAAAAUGAAAUAAAUGUUUAGCACAUUUGAUUGGUUGAGUUCAUUUUUGUUACCAUGCAUUCAAUUUUUUGAUUAGAGCUUCUCUUUCUUUUUUAUUUUCUUGUUUGUUCAAGAAAAUUAAACUAAUAACAUGAAUAGUCAACAAUGACGGAUUAAAUGUAAAUAGUUGAAAAUUGGAAUCUCUUACCAACAAAACAAAGGGUGACAAAAACAGUGCACAUGUAACUCUCAAUUUUCCAUUCAAUGACUCGCCAACUUAGGAUACUAAAUGAUACCCACAUAGACCAAGAAACAAGCAAAUAAAACAGAAAACAAAGAAAAACAAUCAGUGGAAACAAAACCCUUCCCCACCUCAAAGAAAAAAAACUAUACUUUAUGCCUUGGCUUUGCUUUCUCCCUACUUUCAGCUUAUUUCCGGCUUUUUUCCCCUUUUACUUCCCCUUUCCUCAUAAAGACAAGUCCCCCACCUACUCUUUUUUGACUAUUAAAAAAGGAGACUCUAAGAUAAAGAAGGGAGCAAUUCAAAGUGAGCACUAAAAGUGGUCUUGACUUUGGAUGCUCAACUGAAUAAUUAUUUUCUCUCUUUUAAGUUUUAGUCUUCAUUUAAAGAGAUAAACUUUGAUGAUUACAUGACACGUAUUAUCAAUAUUGAGUAUUAAACUCAGCAUUGAUAUCACAUUUGAUUUAAAAACUAUCCAUGAGUAAUGAUGCCCUUUUCCACUUUGUGAGCUGUAUGCACCCCUUUUCCAUUGCAUGCGUAGCCCUUUUCCACUUUUGUCAGUUGUAUGCAGCCAUUUUCCAUUGCAUGCGUAGUAUAUCUCCAGCCCCUUUUUUUUUGCGCCCUGUUCAUCAUCUUCCUCAACAAACCUUCUCCAUGUCUCUGGUUUUCUUCAAUACCACACACCCAUUCGAGCCCUUCCCAAUAUCCCUCAGUUCAGUAGUCAACCACCCAUCAACAACUUCUCUGCCCUAAAAACAAAACACAGAUCUUGAUUUUAGAAAGUUGCAGCAUAGAAACUCAAAGAUUGAAGACAAAAAGCUUCAAACGAGACACGCCCUAAAAACAAGACACAGAUCUUGAUUUCAGAAACUUGCAGCAUGGAAACUCAAAGAUUGAAGACAAAAAACUUCUGUGAGAAAGCACGGGAGAAAAAUAUAACUCUUGAUAUUAAACAUGAUAUAAUGAGCUCUAUAUAUAAUACACAUAACCUAACCUACUCCUAAUACACUUUGGAUUAGGGUUCUACUAUAUUUACACUUCUAACACUCCCCCUCAAGCUGGUGCAUAUAAAUCAUAUGUACCGAGCUUGUUACAUAUGUAGUUAAUACGAN
rnacentral:lncRNA from 1 species